GGUUAGUAUUAAGUGCUUUAUGUUAUUAGUUCAAUUUUUUUAAAGACUGCAAAGAUGGAAUUUUGGUACGUUGUACAUGUGAAAUUUUGGAUCAAAUGCAAUAUGGAUUUAGGCUACAGAAAACUAUUUUCUUUGUGAACUUUGAGAUAUGAGUUGAAGUGUAACAUUUAUCAUUAAAUGUGCUAAAAUAUCAAACCUAAAAUUUAUUCGUUAAAAUAAACGGGUUAAUCAACAGAAACAAUUAGGUCUCAGUAUGGACUUUGGAGAAUUCCCAAAAUUAACUGACCAAGAUGAACGAGAAAUGACCUCUCCAAAUUAUUUGAGCUAUCAUAAGCAAAGAAUUUCCUUUUGAUAACUUAUGGGAAGAGGAGAAAAGAAGAGGUUCCAAAUCCUGUUGUUCAAAGCAUUACAUACAAUACAACAAUUUUCAAUUCUAUGUGUGGGAGGAUCAACUCAUCCCAAAGCCCAAUUAUGUCCCUCCAAAAAUGGAGAGAGCCAGAGUUCACUCAAGCAAGGAGCCAAAGAUGACAGAAAAAUAGAUGAAAUUGAAAACAGACCUGAUGAAUUGGAGGGUACA
rnacentral:misc_RNA from 1 species